UAUAACUGUUGUCGAAUGCUUCAAAACUCUAUUUGUAUCCCUCUCUAUCUAUCUCUCAUAAACUCGUCUUUAUAGUCACAAACCUUAUCUCUACACUCGCGUCCUCAUUCAUGUCAACAUUCUCCUCGAAUCACGAUGACAGUUAGGAAAGCAUGGAGGUUGCCAAUUUCUCCAAUGAUGAAGUCUCUGCUCCCUACAACCUUGAUUUCUCGGACUCACCAAUACCACAUAACUAUGACGAGGAAGAAUUGUUUGGAUGCCAAGGCCACGGAGGAUUUCUCAAGACAGGUUUGGCCAAUCAAAACCUAACCAUUCAGGUUCCCAACUCUGUUUGAAGGUUCAUAGAUAGAGAAAUGGGUUUUAAUAAAUGUGUUCAAAGGAACCUCACUCCAGCUGCCGUUGCUCCUAUUCAUCUUCAAAAGCAAGCUCACCUUCUCAAUGUGAAUUGCCCUGAUGAUGACACCAUUGGAUUGGGUACUCCAAGUGUCCCUCCCAUCAUUGAUUCUGAUUUUCCAUUGGAGAAGGAUUCAGAAUGCUCCCUAGGGAACGAACCAACUGACCCUCAUGGGUCUUGGCCUUCAAGGCAAUCUCUGGAUUAUGAUGGCACAAAAAGUGAGACUUCCAUUGAACAAAAACCCAAGCCCAAGACUGUUGCUAAACCCACUGUCGUUGAGCUUGCUCAAAGACUAGACAAAACUUUUACAGACGACAGAGAAAAACAGACCCCUCAUUUACAAUAUUACAACACCAGGUGUUGUCUAUCUUUAACUUUUAUUUAUGUCUCUAUAUGCAAAGUUAAUUGGUUCUCCCUUUUCCAGUGCAUCUCUUGAUCGCACCAUAAAGUUAUACAUAUGUUCUUCUUGCUAGUUGUGUCCUGCAUUUUCUUUGUUUAUUUCCAUACACCUAGGAUAACACUUAAGAACUACUAUACAAUAUAGCAGAAGAUAAGGAAGUAAAGCUGGAGGAUGGUAGAGUGUUGUGGAUGGAGUAUGGGAGUCAAAAUGGAGAUGGAGGCGGCUUCUAUUUCAAUGGGAACAGAAACUAGUGGAACAGGUGGAAGAUAUAUCAAUGAAAUCAACUUCAAUUCUUCAAAAAGAUGUAGGUAAAAGCGGUAUCUUGGAAGGUACAAAUGUUUGUGUGGAAGGUAGCUCUAAACCAUAUAUAUACAGUCUCUUGAAAAUUUGAUACAAAAAUAUAAUUGAUCUCAAGGAAGGAAACGUAUGUGACAGAGUAGUAGAAUGUAGAAGCUACUAUGUACCUAUUAAUUUGUUCUUUUAAUGUACAGUGGCUACAAGAGUGUGGGAAUCUUGCUUGAAAUGGUACUAGGGAAUUACUACGGUGAGACACAGACAUCCAAAUAAGUUUAAUUUCUUUGAUUUAUGGGGUUGGUGGAUUGUGAGAAGGGUACUGAAUGUCAGUGUGAUUUGCUAUAAUUUGAGUGUUAUGGAUGACAAUAAACUCAAUCAUUUUCAUAGCAAAUGCAAGGGGAGAGGAGCAGGUACAUAAUUGAGUAUGUUAAGAUACUAUAGAUAACAAUUGAAGGCAUGAAUGUUGAUCAAGGAAAAAUAAUUUUGAAGGUAAAUGCUAGCUGUGUCCAAUUAUCCCAUUAAAAAAAAGAAGAAUUUUUCCAACGGUUAAUGCAUUGAUGAUCAUCGUUUUUGUUCAAUAGGAAAGUGGCAUGACAUUAAUAGCAGCUUAAGAUUUGGAUGAUGCCACCCAGAGCAGUGAAAGUGGCUUAUUGAUAAAUUGUGGUUCAUCUGAGAAUUCACAUUUAUGAGGAGGGAAUUGAAGCAUGAAAAGUUCUUAUUGAAGUUGUGGUGUCAAAGCUUUUUCAAUAAGGAAGUGUACGUUUUUCACACGUUAUAUAUACUUCAUUUAGGGUUCAUGCACGUAAUGUAAUUUGACUUCUUCUAUGCAAUUCCAAGUAUUCAUACCAUUUUCUUUCUAUUAUUCCUGAUUGAGUUCUCUUGCUGGUAAUUGCAUGGAAACACUUCUGUUAGUGGUUAUAUAUGUUGGCUCAUUUAGGAGCCUAAGCCUAUAAAGCCUUUAAACUGGUAUUUUCAAUUUUGAAUAUGUUUGUUUUUGUUUAGAUACAAGGCUAGAAGAGUUUUUUUUUAUAAAAAAGUUUUAUAUUUCCAGUAGAGAAGCUCCCAAAAACUAUUAUAGCUUGUAUCCAAAUAGUUAUUAUAUAAUAAUAAUAAUAAUGGUUUCUUUUUGUCUGGUUAUUUCUCUGUUUCUUUUCUUUUGGCAUUUGAGGGGGCCACUAAAUGUAGAUUGAAUAUUUUAUAUUGCUAUCUGGGUGGGAGACUUGGUUUGUCAGACUCAAUAUUUUAUAUUGCUAUCUUAUAUACUUGCAAAUAAAUUAAAAUGAAUAUGUAGAAUCUAAGUUAACAUAGUUAACAUCAGGGACCUAAUUGGUAGCAAGAGUGGCUUAUGUCAGUUAUGUGAUUGUUUGUGACCACUUUUUCUUAUAUUUAAUAUAUUAGUAUAUUAGUACUAGCAUGUGGGUAGUAAACUUUCAGUUGAGAAUCUUGUUCAGUACAUUAAUUAAAAUUGGGAUUUCUAAUUUUUAUUGUUAUAUUUGUUUACUUUAACAUUACUAUAUAUGUAUUAAUUUGGCCAUUAUGAUAUAAUAUCAUUUAGUGUACUCAGGAAAUUGAUUAUUAUUUUUGCAGAUUUAGUGUUGAGAACAAGUCUAUUGUUUGCCUUUUAUUUUAAAUUUGAAUGAUCAAGGAUUCUGGAAGAUUUUGGUAGUUAACAUAUUCAGAUUUGAUUUUCUGGUGCAGAACUGGCUCUUAGCUUUUUGAAUAUGGUGCAAAAUUUGAACCUUAACAUUCCCUCUAUGCACAGGAGAUUGUUUACAUUUUUUAUCUAUUAAAUAUGUCAACAGUGGGCUGUAGUUUCAAAUCCAUCUGACAUUGUUGGAGUUUGUAAUUUGGACAGAAGUAAAACAAAAAUCCACUUGCACUUGGUUGCCAGGAACUUCUAAAGUUGGUAGGGAUGGCCAAUGCUAUGAUAAUUCAUCUCUUGUUGGAAAUUGCAAUGGCAAGCAUGAAAACCUAACAUCACAGUUUAGGAUUUCAGCGGUGCAGCAAACCAACUACUAUUUUUCUGAAUUUUCAGUAAUAGCUAAUAUAGUGAUAUUUCUAAUGUGUCAAAAUGUGGGGAUGCUUGCUUGUCAGAUUGUGAUUAUGCGGCUUCUAUUUAUGGGCUAAAUGAGGAGAGGUCAUUUUGUUGGGUCUUGAGGAGCUUUAGUUUUGGUGGUUUUCAGGAUACUAGCUCAACUUUGUUUGUAAAGUUCAGAGCAAAUGGAUCAUGGACUUCAGAUGGCCAAGCAGGAGGGUCUAAUAGCUCCUCCGAUGGAAUGGGAAGUGCAAAGGAGAAGCCUGUGAUUAUUCCUAUUGUUCUCAGCAUGGCUUCUCGUUUAUGAGUUCAUGAAAAAAGGAUCCUUGGAUAAAUGGAUCUUCCCUUCAUAUCAAGGUCGAGAUAGAUUGUUAGAUUGGACAACUCGUUUAAAUAUAGCCAUAGCUAUUGCACAAGGGAUUGCAUACUUUCAUGAGCAGUGUAGGGAUCGGAUAAUACAUUGUGAAAUCAAACCGGAAAAUAUAUUGGUAGACGAAAACUUUUGUCCCAAAGUAUCUGAUUUUGGGCUGGCCAAAUUGAUGGGAAGGGAGCACUCUCAUGUGGUCACAAUGGUCAGAGGCACUAGAGGUUAUUUGGCACCAGAAUGGGUUAGUAAUCGCCCUAUAACUGUAAAAGCUGGCGUUUACAGCUAUGGAAUGCUUCUUUUAGAGAUCAUUGGUGGCAGGAGAAAUCUUGACAUGUCCUUUGGUGCUGAGGACUUUUUCUAUCCUAGUUCGGCUUACAAGGUACAUUAAGAUACUGGUUUUUUUUAUUAUUUAUCUUUUUAUUGAUGAAAAGAUGACUUAAACAUCAUAUUUUAGUUGUAGCAUUUAACAUCCUAAUAAAUUAAUUCAAUCCAGAUUUCCCCCCUA